rnacentral:rRNA from 1 species
AGCCAGACUCCUACGGGAGGCAGCAGUGAGGAAUAUUGGUCAAUGGUCGGGAGACUGAACCAGCCAAGCCGCGUGAGGGAGGAAGGUACAGAGUAUCGUAAACCUCUUUUGUCAGGGAACAAAGACUGGGACGCGUCCCCGGAUGAGUGUACCUGAAGAAAAAGCAUCGGCUAACUCCGUGCCAGCAGCCGCGGUAAUACGGAGGAUGCGAGCGUUAUCCGGAUUUAUUGGGUUUAAAGGGUGCGCAGGCGGUCUGUUAAGUCAGCGGUCAAAGCCCGGGGCUCAACUUCGGAAUUGCCUCUGAUACUGUUCGGCUAGAGAGUAGUUGCGGUAGGCGGAAUGUAUGGUGUAGCGGUGAAGUGCUUAGAGAUCAUACAGAACACCGAUUGCGAAGGCAGCUUACCAAGCUACUUCUGACGUUGAGGCACGAAAGCGUGGGGAGCAAACAGGAUUAGAUACCCGAGUA